CACGUAGGGGGCGAGCGUUGUCCGGAUUUAUUGGGCGUAAAGAGCUCGUAGGCGGUUUGGUAAGUUGGAUGUGAAAUCUCCAGGCUCAACUUGGAGGGGUCAUUCGAUACUGCCAUGACUAGAGUUCGGUAGGGGAGUGUGGAAUUCCUGGUGGAGCGGUGAAAUGCGUAGAUAUCUGGAGGAACACCGGUGGCGAAGGCGGCAUCCUGGACCGGCAUUGACGCUGAGGCGCGAAAGCCAGGGGAGCAAACGGG
rnacentral:rRNA from 1 species